GACGAACGCUGGCGGCGUGCUUAACACAUGCAAGUCGUACGGUAAGGCCCUUUCGGGGGUACACGAGUGGCGAACGGGUGAGUAACACGUGCGUAACCUGCCCACAACUUUGGGAUAACGAUAGGCAACUGGUGCUAAUACUUGCUAUGUGCUCCUUCCGGCUGGUUGGGGUUGGAAAGCUCCGGCGGUUGUGGGUGGACUCGCGGCCUACCAGGUUGCUGGUGGGGUAGUGGCCUACCAAGGGGGCGGCGGGGAGCCGGCCGGCGAGGGUGACCGGCCACAAUGGGGACUGGAUACGGCCCAGACUCCUACGGGGGGCAAGAGGGGGGGAUAAUGCCACAUGGGGGCGAGCCUGAUGGAGGAAAGCCGCGUGCGGGAUGACGGCCUUCGGGUUGUAAACCGGUUUCAGCAGGGGAGAAGGUGUGAGUGACGGUACCUGCAGAAGAAGCACCGGCUAACUACGUG
rnacentral:rRNA from 1 species